rnacentral:rRNA from 1 species
UCUGGUUGAUUCUGCCAGUAGUCAUAUGCUUGUCUCAAAGAUUAAGCCAUGCAUGUCUAAGUAUAAGCAAUUAUACGGCGAAACUGCGAAUGGCUCAUUAUAUAAGUUAUCGUUUAUUUGAUAGUACCUUACUACUUGGAUAACCGUGGUAAUUCUAGAGCUAAUACAUGCUAAAAAUCCCGACUUCGGAAGGGAUGUAUUUAUUAGAUUAAAAACCAAUGCCCUUCGGGGCUCCUUGGUGAUUCAUGAUAACUUCGCGAAUCGCAUGGCCUUGCGCCGGCGAUGGUUCAUUCAAAUUUCUUCCCUAUCAACUUUCGAUGUUUGGGUAUUGGCCAAACAUGGUUGCAACGGGUAACGGAGGGUUAGGGCUCGACCCCGGAGAAGGAGCCUGAGAAACGGCUACUACAUCCAAGGAAGGCAGCAGGCGCGCAAAUUACCCAAUCCCGACACGGGGAGGUAGUGACAAUAAAUACUGAUACAGGGCUCUUUAGGGUCUUGUAAUUGGAAUGAGUACAAUUUAAAUCCCUUAACGAGGAACAAUUGGAGGGCAAGUCUGGUGCCAGCAGCCGCGGUAAUUCCAGCUCCAAUAGCGUAUAUUAAAGUUGUUGUGGUUAAAAAGCUCGUAGUUGAACCUUGGGCCUGGCUGGCCGGUCCGCCUCACCGCGUGCACUGGUCCGGCCGGGCCUUUCCCUCUGUGGAACCCCAUGCCCUUCACUGGGCGUGGCGGGGAAACAGGACUUUUACUUUGAAAAAAUUAGAGUGCUCCAGGCAGGCCUAUGCUCGAAUACAUUAGCAUGGAAUAAUAAAAUAGGACGUGCGGUUCUAUUUUGUUGGUUUCUAGGACCGCCGUAAUGAUUAAUAGGGACAGUCGGGGGCAUCAGUAUUCAAUUGUCAGAGGUGAAAUUCUUGGAUUUAUUGAAGACUAACUACUGCGAAAGCAUUUGCCAAGGAUGUUUUCAUUAAUCAGGAACGAAAGUUAGGGGAUCGAAGACGAUCAGAUACCGUCGUAGUCUUAACCGUAAACGAUGCCGACUAGGGAUCGGACGGUGUUAUUACUUGACCCGUUCGGCACCUUACGAGAAAUCAAAGUGCUUGGGCUCCAGGGGGAGUAUGGUCGCAAGGCUGAAACUUAAAGAAAUUGACGGAAGG